GUGUCCUACGGGGGGCAGCAGUGGGGAAUAUUGCACAAUGGGGGAAACCCUGAUGCAGCGACGCCGCGUGAGUGAAGAAGUAUUUCGGUAUGUAAAGCUCUAUCAGCAGGAACGAGACAAGACGGUACCUGACUAAGAAGCCCCGGCUAACUACGUGCCAGCAGCCGCGGUAAUACGUAGGGGGCAAGCGUUAUCCGGAAUCACUGGGUGUAAAGGGAGCGUAGACGGUUAUGUAAGUCUGGAGUGAAAGCCCGGGGCCCAACCCCGGGACUGCUUUGGAAACUGUGUAACUGGAGUACAGGAGG
rnacentral:rRNA from 1 species